UGGGGAAUAUUGCACAAUGGGCGCAAGCCUGAUGCAGCGACGCCGCGUGCGGGAUGGAGGCCUUCGGGUUGUAAACCGCUUUUGUUCAAGGGCAAGGCACGGCUUCGGGCCGUGUUGAGUGGAUUGUUCGAAUAAGGACCGGCUAAUUCCGUGCCAGCAGCCGCGGUAAUACGGAAGGUCCUGGCGUUAUCCGGAUUUAUUGGGUUUAAAGGGAGCGUAGGCCGGAGAUUAAGCGUGUUGUGAAAUGUAGGAGCUCAACUUCUGCACUGCAGCGCGAACUGGUUUCCUUGAGUACGUAGGAAGUUGGCGGAAUUCGUGGUGUAGCGGUGAAAUGCUUAGAUAUCACGAAGAACUCCGAUUGCGAAGGCAGCUGACUGUAUCGUAACCGACGCUGAAGCUCGAAAGUGUGGGUAUCGAACAGGAUUAGAUACC
rnacentral:rRNA from 1 species